AUUGAACGCUGGCGGCAGGCCUAACACAUGCAAGUCGAACGGUAACAGGAAGCAGCUUGCUGCUUCGCUGACGAGUGGCGGACGGGUGAGUAAUGUCUGGGAAACUGCCUGAUGGAGGGGGAUAACUACUGGAAACGGUAGCUAAUACCGCAUAACGUCGCAAGACCAAAGAGGGGGGACCUUCGGGCCUCUUGCCAUCGGAUGUGCCCAGAUGGGAUUAGCUAGUAGGUGGGGUAACGGCUCACCUAGGCGACGAUCCCUAGCUGGUCUGAGAGGAUGACCAGCCACACUGGAACUGAGACACGGUCCAGACUCCUACGGGAGGCAGCAGUGGGGAAUAUUGCACAAUGGGCGCAAGCCUGAUGCAGCCAUGCCGCGUGUAUGAAGAAGGCCUUCGGGUUGUAAAGUACUUUCAGCGGGGAGGAAGGGAGGUAAA
rnacentral:rRNA from 1 species